CAGAAAAUAGCACCAUCUUCAUGAUAGCAAAAUACUGAUGAAGACUCUUCAAAUCCUAUUAUAGUUAAAAUUAUAUAUACAUCAAACUUUUCCUCUAUGUUGCACCUAUUUUUCUAGUUAAAGAUUAUAACUCUAUUUGAAUAUAUGGAGUCCUUUUUUUUGAUGAAAAGGGAGGGAGACCCACCCCUAUAUUUCAUUAAGGUAAUCAAGGAGUACAAGAAGAGAAGAGCACAAAAGCUGGAAAAUCCCAUUGUUGGUGGAAAAAUGGACCAUCCCACAAAUGCAAUUAUAGCACCCAAAUCCGUCAGCAAGAUCGAGCUCAUCCAGGCCGAGCUUAUGCAAGCUCAUCUAAGUGCUCGGGCUCUUCCGCUCUCGGGCUCAUCUAAGUGCUCGGGCCCUUCCGCUCUCGAGCUCAUCUAAGUGCUCGAGCUCAUAGGCCGAGCCGAGCACAGAAGGCCGAGCACAGAAGGCCGAGCUCAGAAGGCCGAGCACAGCAGGCCGAGACCAGAAGACCGAGCACAAAAGGCCGAGCACAGAAGGCUGCCGAGCUCAGAAGGCCGAGCACAGCAGGCCGAGACCAGAAGGCCGAGCACAGAAGGCCAGACCAGAAGGCCGAGCUCAGGAGGCCGAGCACAGCAGACCGAGCACAGCAGGACGAGACCAGAAGGCUGAGCUGACCUCAUAAGGCCGACCUCGUCGUCUAUAUGCUGCGGCCAUGCCCUGCAGCA
rnacentral:lncRNA from 1 species